AUGCAUCACCACCCUGGGCCUUUCCACGUCUUCAGGGCGGAGCGUGGCGUCACGGCUGGAUACCACCACCACAUCGGAGAUGGCGCCGCGCAGCUCCCACCCGAGCUCCUCCACCACCCCCGCAGCCCCAACCCCAGCUCCAAGUCCUCCAGCAACGUCACCGUCGCCAACUUCCCGUCGCUCGCCAGUCCGCAUGGAGUAGUGGGGUCGUUGGGCAUGGCGACGCCGGGAAUGGCAUUUGCGGCGGCGGAGGCCGGCCGGUUCUGCAUGCCGAGGGCGGCCGUGCAGCAGCUCGAGAACUGGGGCGACUCCCUCUCCGGCAUCGUCGUCACCAGCCCGCUCACCGAGACCUCCACGGACCUGGACGACAGCGGCGACAAGCAUCACGCCCUGAUGGGCGGUGGUGGCGCCGGCGCCGGCGCCGGCGGAGGGGCGCAUUCCCAACGGCGGGUGGGGUGUGUCGAUUCCUCUGAAAGAACAGGAGAUGAGAAGACCGCACGGAGACUAGCGCAGAACCGCGAGGCGGCCCGGAAAAGCCGCAUCAGGAAGAAGGCUUACCUUGCGCAGCUGGAAAGCAGCCGGUCCAAGCUGACGCACCUUGAGCAAGAGCUUCAGAGGGCAAGGCAGCAGGGAAUCUUCAUCGCCGGUGGUGGCUCCGGUGACUGCUCAAGCGGAGGCGCCUUGGCGUUCGAUUUGGAGUAUGCGCGGUGGCUCGACGACCACCAGCGCCACAUCAACAACCUCAGGGUGGCCGUGAUCGCGGACAUGGGCGACGACGAGCUGCGCAUCCUCGUCGAGUCCGUGCUGCUGCACUACGACGAGUUCUUCAGGCUCAAGAACCUGGCGACCAAGUCCGACGUGUUCCACGUCCUGUCAGGCAUGUGGAUGAGCCCCGCCGAGCGGUUCUUCAUGUGGCUCGGCGGGUUCCGCUCGUCGGAGAUCCUCAAGGUACUCGCCAGCCACCUUGAGCCGCUGACGGACCAGCAGCUGGUGGGCAUCUGCAACUUGCAGCAGUCGUCGCAGCAGGCGGAGGACGCGCUGUCGCAGGGGAUGGAGGCCCUGCAGCAGGCGCUGUCCGAGACGCUCGCCGCGGCGGCGGGGGCGGGGCCGCUGGCCGGCGCCGGCAACGUGACCAACUACAUGGGGCAGAUGGCCAUCGCCAUGGGUAAGCUGAGCACGCUGGAGAACUUCCUCCGGCAGGGCGACCUCCUGAGGCAGCAGACCCUGCAGCAGAUGCACCGGAUCCUGACGACCCGGCAGGCCGCCCGCGCGCUGCUCGUCAUCAGCGACUACUUCUCCCGGCUCCGGGCGCUGAGCUCCCUCUGGCUCGCGCGGCCGAGGGACUAG
rnacentral:rRNA from 1 species